rnacentral:rRNA from 1 species
CCUACGGGAGGCAGCAGUCGAGAAUCAUUCACAAUGGGGGAAACCCUGAUGGUGCGACGCCGCGUGGGGGAAUGAAGGUCUUCGGAUUGUAAACCCCUGUCAUGUGGGAGCAAAUUAAAAAGAUAGUACCACAAGAGGAAGAGACGGCUAACUCUGUGCCAGCAGCCGCGGUAAUACAGAGGUCUCAAGCGUUGUUCGGAAUCACUGGGCGUAAGGCGUUCGUAGGCUGUUUCGUAAGUCGUGUGUGAAAGGCGCGGGCUCAACCCGCGGACGGCACAUGAUACUGCGAGACUAGAGUAAUGGAGGGGGAACCGGAAUUCUCGGUGUAGCAGUGAAAUGCGUAGAUAUCGAGAGGAACACUCGUGGCGAAGGCGGGUUCCUGGACAUUAACUGACGCUGAGGCACGAAGGCCAGGGGAGCGAAAGGGAUUAGAUACCCGAGUAGUC